GACGAACGCUGGCGGCGUGCUUAACACAUGCAAGUCGAACGGAAAGGCCCUGCUUUUGUGGGGUGCUCGAGUGGCGAACGGGUGAGUAACACGUGAGUAACCUGCCCUUGACUUUGGGAUAACUUCAGGAAACUGGGGCUAAUACCGGAUAGGAGCUCCUGCUGCAUGGUGGGGGUUGGAAAGUUUCGGCGGUUGGGGAUGGACUCGCGGCUUAUCAGCUUGUUGGUGGGGUAGUGGCUUACCAAGGCUUUGACGGGUAGCCGGCCUGAGAGGGUGACCGGCCACAUUGGGACUGAGAUACGGCCCAGACUCCUACGGGAGGCAGCAGGGGGGAGUAUUGCACAAUGGGCGGAAGCCUGAUGCAGCAACGCCGCGUGCGGGAUGACGGCCUUCGGGUUGUAAACCGCUUUCGCCUGUGACGAAGCGGGAGUGACGGUAAUGGGUAAAGAAGCACCGGCUAACUACGUG
rnacentral:rRNA from 1 species